rnacentral:rRNA from 1 species
CGCCGCCACGGUAAUACAGAGGGUGCAAGCGUUAAUCGGAAUUACUGGGCGUAAAGCGCGCGUAGGUGGUUUGUUAAGUUGGAUGUGAAAGCCCCGGGCUCAACCUGGGAACUGCAUCCAAAACUGGCAAGCUAGAGUACGGUAGAGGGUGGUGGAAUUUCCUGUGUAGCGGUGAAAUGCGUAGAUAUAGGAAGGAACACCAGUGGCGAAGGCGACCACCUGGACUGAUACUGACACUGAGGUGCGAAAGCGUGGGGAGCAAACAGGAUUAGAUACCCCUGUAGUCCCUGUCUCUUAUACA